rnacentral:misc_RNA from 1 species
UGAGACUUCUCAGGGAUUUCUUCUUCAUCUUCAGAAGAGCUUUCGACCAGGUCAUCAGGGACAUCAUUAGGAACAUUAUGUGUGGUGAUGAAUUCCUUCAAUAUGCUCAUGCUUUUCUCUUUCAUAGAAACCAAUUCCUCUGAGAUGGUACUACCGUUGCUUGCAUCAACAGUGUAUAUUUCCGACCCAAGUUUAAGUGUGGCUUUAACAUGAGGCCCACAUGUAAUUGCAUCAUGUGCUUGAGCCUCCAUCACCUUUCCAAAUCAGGGAUAUCUCGGGGAACCAAACUCGAGGUAGAGGAGCUCCGGAC